rnacentral:rRNA from 1 species
ACAUCGCCUCUUGAUCAAUUAUAAGAGGUCAAGCCUGCCCAGUGACAUUGUUCAACGGCCGCGGUAUCCUAACCGUGCGAAGGUAGCGUAAUCACUUGUCCUUUAAAUAAGGACUAGUAUGAACGGCUUCACGAAGGCUAUACUGUCUCCUUAAUCUAAUCAAUUAAACUAAUCUCCCCGUGAAGAAGCGGGAAUUCGUCUAUAAGACGAGAAGACCGUAUGGAGCUUUAAACAUCUAAGACACUUGAUUUUUCCUACUAAACUUCAUGCAACCUAUCAUUUUGUCUUAAGUUUUAGGUUGGGGUGACCACGGAGAAAAAUUAAACCUCCACGUAGAAAGAAAAUUCUUUUCUAAGCAAAAAGCCACAUCUUAACGCAUCAAUAAAUUGACUUAAAUUGACCCAAUUUCUUGCUCAACGAACCAAGUUACCCUAGGGAUAACAGCGCAAUCCGCUUUAAGAGCUCCUAUCGACAAGCGGGCUUACGACCUCGAUGUUGGAUCA